AAAGUACUCCCUCCAUCCCAAAAUUCUUGUCUUAGAUUUGUCUAGAUACGGAUGUAUCAAGUCACAUUUUAGUAUUAGAUACAACCGUAUCUAGACAAAUCUAAGACAAGAAAUUUGGGACAGAGGGAUUAGUUG
rnacentral:pre_miRNA from 1 species